GACCGGAGAGGAUUACUCAGUAGUGGCGAAGACAUCUGGUGAUCAUGUGACACCUUUAACCUAUUCCUACAUAUCGGGAGAAUGGACGAGGAAUGAGAGUCCCAUCACGGAGCCUCCACUUUACUCCCGAAUACUUGCGGAAAAGAACACCAGUAAAAUUCUAGCCGUUAUCAACAAGAUCACUGAGCUUCUGACAGCAGAGGUUCCUAUAAGGUGUCAGGAUGUCACUGUCUAUUUCUCCAUG